rnacentral:rRNA from 1 species
GUGUCAGCAGCCGCGGUAAUACGAAGGAUGCAAGCGUUAUCCGGAUUUAUUGGGUUUAAAGGGUGCGUAGGCGGUCUUAUAAGUCAGUGGUGAAAUCUUGUCGCUUAACGACAAACGUGCCAUUGAUACUGUAGGACUUGAGUACAGAUGCCGUUGGCGGAAUGUGUCAUGUAGCGGUGAAAUGCAUAGAUAUGACACAGAACACCGAUUGCGAAGGCAGCUGACGAAACUGUAACUGACGCUGAUGCACGAAAGCGUGGGGAUCAAACAGGAUUAGAUACCCCGGUAGUCC